AUUUGGGUAUUUUGGGAUUAAUUUGGUGGUGUUCACUGUGUGUUUUGAUUUGGGUUUAUGUUUUUUUAUUAUUUUUUUAUUAUCUGAUUUGUAGUUAUUUGGUGGUAUUUGAUUUUGGGUUUUGCUUCGAUUGAGUUUUUUUAUUCAAAUUCAAAUUCUGUGUUUUUUCUUGCUUUGCUGUGUAUUUUUGGGGAUUGAAUUUCUGGACCAAACAGCCUGUGUGUUAGUAAACUUUAUGAUCUAUGCAUGCACAUGUGUAGGUGCUUAUGGAGUUUAUUACACAAAAAUUUAAAUUCAGCUUUCCAUUGGUUUAUAGCAUUUGUGGCUUUCUUUCAUUAGCAACUAUAUUAGGUUCAUAUGCGGACUCUUAAGUACUGAAGUUAUCAUUUGGUUGCCCCAAUUUUCAACUCUUAAUAUACUUUCAUGAGAUUUUGAAUGUUUGUGGGUGAUGUUUUGCUUAUGUUCUCAAUAGAACUUCAUUGUUUUACAUGAAUUAUUGCUUAUUUUAUUAGUAUUUUUUUUUCUAGUGUAACUUGCUUAUGUAUGGGUUGAUUUGGAAGAAGUUAGAGCAUCUCUAACGCAUCAUCACCAAAUUUGAUAAAAAGUUUGAUCUCAUAUCAUACAUUCCAAUGGUAAAUUUAAAAUUUUCAUCAAAUCUUGUUAGAAGCCCGGUUGUCCGGGAGGACAUCCGGCCAUGGGUGGAAAUUGAUGUUCAGAUAAAGAAAGGCCGGUUAUCUGAACUGAUGUCCAGCCCAACGCCCCCUACAAAAUUUAAUGAAAGGAUGAACUCCCUUGAUUUGAUGGACGGUUGGAGCUUGGUUUUAACGCGUAAAUUUGAUGAAAAUUUUGAUGAAUGAUCGGAGAUAUCCUAAUGAAAGUUUAGUUCAUCAAUUUUGGGGGUUGUCAAGAUUUUACGUUUUAUUUAUUGAUUAUUUGUUUCUCUGUUUUCUGUCUUUUGCUUAUAUUGGAUAUCAUAACUUUUUUGCCCUGCGGGGGAGGGGUAUGUUUGUCAACUUCAUCACUUUGCCUUGCAUUUAAUUGAUCUCUUUAUAAAAUAAAAUAAAAAAGAGAGAAUUUUUAUUUAGAUUAAAAAUAUCCAAGAAUAAUGGGGUGUUGAUGCAUCUUUUGUUAAGGAG